rnacentral:rRNA from 1 species
UCCGGUGGUUAUAGCUUUUCGGUCCCACCCGAUCCCAUCCCGAACUCGGACGUGAAACGAAAACGCGCUGAUGGUACUUAAGCUUAAGCUUUGGAAGAGUAGGUCGCUGCCGGGU